UACGAAGGGGGCUAGCGUUGUUCGGAAUUACUGGGCGUAAAGCGCGCGCAGGUGGUCUUUCAAGUCAGUGGUGAAAGCCCGGAGCUCAACUCCGGAAAUGCCAUUGAAACUGUGAGACUUGAGGACGAGAGAGGUGAGUGGAAUUCCCAGUGUAGAGGUGAAAUUCGUAGAUAUUGGGAAGAACACCGGUGGCGAAGGCGGCUCACUGGCUCGUAUCUGACGCUCAGGCGCGACAGCGUGGGGAUCGAAACAGG
rnacentral:rRNA from 1 species